rnacentral:rRNA from 1 species
AUACGGAGGGUGCAAGCGUUAAUCGGAAUUACUGGGCGUAAAGCGUGCGUAGGUGGUUUGUUAAGUCAGAUGUGAAAGCCCCGGGCUCAACCUGGGAACUGCAUUUGAAACUGGCAUACUAGAGUAUAGGAGAGGAAAGUGGAAUUUCAGGUGUAGCGGUGAAAUGCGUAGAUAUCUGAAGGAACAUCAAUGGCGAAGGCAGCUUUCUGGACUAAUACUGACACUGCGGUACGAAAGCGUGGGUAGCAAACAGGAUUAGAAACCCUAGUAGUCC